rnacentral:tRNA from 1 species
CCCCUGGUGGUCCAGUGGUUAAGACUCCGGACUUCAGUGCCGGGGACACAGGUUCUAUCCCUGGUCAGGGAA